UACGUAGGGCGCAAGCGUUGUCCGGAAUUAUUGGGCGUAAAGAGCUCGUAGGCGGCUUGUCACGUCGGAUGUGAAAGCCCGAGGCUUAACCUCGGGUCUGCAUUCGACACGGGCUAGCUAGAGUGUGGUAGGGGAGAUCGGAAUUCCUGGUGUAGCGGUGAAAUGCGCAGAUAUCAGGAGGAACACCGGUGGCGAAGGCGGAUCUCUGGGCCAUUACUGACGCUGAGGAGCGAAAGCGUGGGGGAGCGAACAGG
rnacentral:rRNA from 1 species